rnacentral:lncRNA from 1 species
UUAAUCCCAAGAUGCAUGUCCUAGUCUAGAAUGUAACAAUUUCUUAUUCAAAAAUUGUGUACUAGAACAAAUUAUACUCUCUUUAUUUAGAUCUGAAGGGAUUUCAGAGAGUGUGAUAAUUACAAAGAUAUGUCUAUUGUCAUUCAGGACACUAGAUAUUACACUAGCGAACAAACUUGACUUGUCAAGUUUAUACAGCUCUGCCAGCAUUUUUCCUACUGCAAUGACUUCCUUAGUCUGCUGGUCCUAGAAUAGAUAGUAACCAGAAUAGAAGAUAAGUUUUAUAUUUGUGGUUCUAAGCAAUUUACUUACUGAUAGUAAAUUGUAAUGAAAGCUUGGCACAAACAAAGUAUCAUAUAAAGACAAUUUAGGAUGCAGAGAAACAAGACUAGAAUGAAAAGCUUUAGUAAAAUAUUUAUUUGCCAUGUGAACUGUGACAUUAUAUGUCAAAGGAGUAAAAGAAUGAAACAUAGACAUAGAAGGACACAUAUGAUCAGUGUCUCCUGUAUCAAUUUUCCAUGUAUUAUUCAUAGAAAUUUCAGUGCAAGAUUUACUGAAAGUGUGAAAUUUACCAAUAAAGGAAGCAAAAACUUUGACUGGAAGUGUUUUCAGUUUCUUGCAUUGAAUUAUUUCUAGUACCAACACCAGUGGUACCCUUUUCCUUAUCCAUCCUGUGUACCACUUAUUAAAGAGAAUUCAACAUGCUAUUGAUUUCUUCAAAAAUAUAAGAUCCCUCAGGGCAUUUCAAAGGUUUGUCAGACUCAUUUAGACCAUCAAUAUUGGCCAUAAUCCUAGUGUUAUUUCCCUUUGAUUGUUUGUUAUUUUGAUCAGUGUUUUUAUUUUUUAUUUUAAACCAAUUAGAAUACCCAAUUAAUUUGAAGCAUCCUUCUCUAGUAUGACCAUCCAUGUCACAAUAUGAGCAGUGUCCCUUUUCAGUGUCAUAUCUUUUUUUAAAGCCUUGAGAUUGGGAUGAGGCUUGAGCCUUAUUGAAAAGAACUAAAGAUUCAUUUAUGGUAGGCACAACUCCUAAGGCUUUCCUUUGUGACUCGAAUUUCAAGACUACAGAGUAGGACUUGUUCACAGAAGGUAAAGGAUCUUGCAUAAGAACCCUAUCCUUGACAGGGUUAAAAUAAUCAUUCAGACUAAUGAGAAAUUGCAUCAAUUUAUUCCUGUUGUGAUUCUCAUCUAUUUUUCUUAAUCAUUCCAUAGAUACAUGGAGGAAAGAUCUCAUGCCAAAGGACCUUCAGUUUAGUGAAGUAAACCGAAACUGAUAUAUUUUCUUGUGACAUGGAGUUAAUCUUUCUCUGCAGCUAGUAUAUUAAGAGGCCAUUACUCUCACUGUACCUCUCAGCUAGUUCCAGCCACAGAUCUGAGUAAAAGUGAAAGCCUCCAGUAACUCCUUCAAAAUUGAAUUUAAGAUCCAUGAUGUGACCAUAUAGUCACAUCGUUUCCAUUUUGCAAACAUAUCUGAAUUCUCCUUUAGAAUUGAAAUCAUGCUAAAUCCUAAUUUUUGUUUAGCACCGAGCUCUAUUCGAAUCACUUUAUUCCAGGAUCUGAAGUUAGUGCCAACAAGACAUGCAAUAGCUAAAAUCAUACCUGGUGGUCUGAAUUUGUAGAUAGAAAGGAUCUCUAGCAUUCUGGUCCCGUCGCUCCUCCCUUACAGCAACCGUUUGAUUUUCACGGGAAGUGACUCCAGUCCGGCCGUCCAUAUUCAGAUAAUCCUUGCAAUGGAAGAAAGGAAGAAAGCAAACAAGAUCUGAGAAAGAAAUGAUAUAAAUCAAGAAAUUUCAUCUAACAUGCUCUGAUACAAUGUACAAAACCAACCAAGAGAAAGAAAACUAAUUCUUGCAUUAUGAUCUUGAGAACAAGAGAAAGAGAGGUAUUUAUAUGUACAAGAAAGGCAACCCUAAAGACGUGACUAAGGCUUAAUAGAAAGCAAAUAAAUAAAACAACAAAUUAAAAUAACAAAAU